AAGUCGUAACAAGGUUUCCGUAGGUGAACCUGCGGAAGGAUCAUUAAUAAAAUUGGGAUAACAUCAGAGAAUUGAGACGAUUCCUUUGAUUAGGAAUCGCCUCUUUCUCUGCUUGCGUUUUGUGAAUUGAAGGGGAAAUCUCAAAGGUCUUGUUUUGAGGAUGAUUUCCUCUUUUUGUUUUGAUUACAAUAAUGUGUGAGACGUAUAAAUAAAAAACGGGAAACUAUAAUAAAAAAGCAUAACUUUCAGCAAUGGAUCUCUUGGCUCUU
rnacentral:misc_RNA from 1 species